rnacentral:rRNA from 1 species
UACGUAGGGGGCAAGCGUUGUCCGGAAUCAUUGGGCGUAAAGAGCGUGUAGGCGGCUCGGUAAGUCCGCUCUGAAAGCCCGGGGCUCAACCCCGGGAGGCGGGCGGAUACUGUCGGGCUAGAGUCCGGAAGAGGCGAGUGGAAUUCCUGGUGUAGCGGUGAAAUGCGCAGAUAUCAGGCGGAACACCAAUGGCGAAGGCAGCUCGCUGGGACGGUACUGACGCUGAGGAGCGAAAGCGUGGGGAGCGAACAGG